GACGAAGGAUCCAAGCGUUAUCCGGAUUCAUUGGGUUUAAAGGGUGCGUAGGCGGACUUAUAAGUCAGUGGUGAAAGCCGAUAGCUUAACUAUCGAACUGCCAUUGAUACUGUAAGUCUAGAGUAUAGAUGAUGUUGGCGGAAUAUGACAUGUAGCGGUGAAAUGCAUAGAUAUGUCAUAGAACACCGAUUGCGAAGGCAGCUGACAAAACUAUAACUGACGCUGAUGCACGAAAGUGCGGGGAUCAAACAGG
rnacentral:rRNA from 1 species